rnacentral:rRNA from 1 species
UACGAAGGGGGCUAGCGUUGCUCGGAAUCACUGGGCGUAAAGCGCACGUAGGCGGCUUGUUAAGUCAGGGGUGAAAUCCUGGAGCUCAACUCCAGAACUGCCUUUGAUACUGGCGAGCUUGAGUCCGGGAGAGGUGAGUGGAACUGCGAGUGUAGAGGUGAAAUUCGUAGAUAUUCGCAAGAACACCGGUGGCGAAGGCGGCGACCUGGGUCGAGACUGACGCUGAGGCGCGAAAGCGUGGGGAGCAAACAGG